ACAUUUUUCCAAAAAAGGACAUAAAGAUGGCCAAUAGACACAUGAAAAGAUACUCAACAUACCUCAGCGUCAGGGAAACGCAAAUGAAAACUACUAUGAGAUACCACCUCACACCUGUCAAAAUGGCUAAAAUCAACAUUACAGGAAACAACAGGUGUUGGUGAGGAUGU